GCCCCUAUAGCCCAAUUGGCAGAGGCAGCGGACUUAAAAUCCGUUCAGUCUGGGUUCGAGUCCCAGUGGGGGCAC
rnacentral:tRNA from 2 species